UACGUAGGGUGCGAGCGUUAAUCGGAAUUACUGGGCGUAAAGCGCGCGCAGGCGGUCCGCAAAGUCUGAUGUGAAAGCCCCGGGCUCAACCUGGGAACUGCAUUGGAAACUAACGGGCUCGAGUGUGGCAGAGGGGGGUGGAAUUCCACGUGUAGCAGUGAAAUGCGUAGAGAUGUGGAGGAACACCGAUGGCGAAGGCAGCCCCCUGGGCUAACACUGACGCUCAGGCACGAAAGCGUGGGGAGCAAACAGG
rnacentral:rRNA from 1 species